ensembl:lncRNA
AGCAGAACAAAAAUUAAACCCCAAACUGUUGAAUAACGUUGGCAAUUUGGCCUCCAUUCCUCUCAUUGAAGGAAUGCCUGGGCCAAGCAUGGAUUGGUAGAUGUGACUGCUCCUUCUCAGUAGGUGUCCGAUCUGACAAAGGUCUCUCAAAAUAAGUGUGUCUCUGAAUUUAAGAGUAAUUUAAGGGAUUUUAAAGGCGAAUUUUCAUACAGGCAAUAGGUUUGCCUUAUAUUUUAUCUUUAGAAACUAACUCCCCAUGGAAGAUGCAUCAUGUGGAGGUCUGCGAAAUUUUUUGGCACAAAAUAAGAAGUCUCAGUGGAAACCACUGAUCUAGCCCAGAAAAACCUGAGACCUCCAGUGGUUCCCCAGACACUGGGGUGGAACCUGGGCCUCUCACUGUGAUGCUCUUUCCGCCUACAAAUUGUGUGCAUCACACCAAAGGACACCCUGCACCUGGCCUGGGGCGUCUGUGAGCUCCUAAACUAUUUGUUAAAAAUCCCCACAUUCUUCAAUGGCCUGCACAAUAUUAAACACAUGUUGAGGAUGCUUUGCAACAAGCCCAGAUACUGGAGCUCCAUGUGGAAGAAGGAAAUUAACGUUCGGCAGGGAAUGCCUGAGAGAGAUCUUUGUGUGGAAAAUUACAUCCAACACACAAAUGGAGGUUUAAAACCCCCCACUGAGAGAAUGACAGGAUUUGCCCCAAGAAGAAACAACAAAGAUGUCCAACCCAUUGUUGAGCUCCAGCCUGAAAUUUGGAUACUUGAUCUUUACCCAAAGUCAAUAUUUUGGGAGAAGUUUGAACUAAUUCAUUCAUGCACUCUUGGGUUUCAAGCAUGAAAAAUCCCCACAGUUUUCCACUUAAGAAGAAAUAAAAAGUCCAAAAACUAUGUACUGAAAAGCAACCAAAUGUUGUAGGCUGUAAACUUCAAUCUUGGCAGGAUGAAACCAUCACCAAAGAAGGAAAUUCAAGUCAAGUGCAAAUAAAGUAGCCAAAGCUUGUAAUGUGCUCAAGGCACGUAGACCAGAGCUUGUGCAGGGCACCCAGAGGGUGAAACCCUGUGUCACACUGACUUGUCGCUGAGCAGGGCCUCUGGAAAGAGCUGCUUAUCUCUUGCCUGAUGAUUGCGGUGGUCUCUGACUCGUCUCCUUGAUUCGUGUUUGUGUGUUUUUAAAUCACAAAUCUGAUCAGUUCAUUUUCCUGUUUACAAACUUUCCUUGACACCUCAUUGACCUCAGGAUAAAUCAACACUUCUCAAGACGCCUUAAGAGGUGUCGGGCACGCUCCAGCUCUGCUUCCCACUCUGGCCACAGCUUGGGCCACACCCGAACUCCAGUCAUGCCAAACUCCGUGGUGUUCCAAGAAUGUUUGUUGCUCUCCAGCACGAAUCUUUGUACAUGCCGUUCUUUCUGCUGGAACUGCACCCCACCCCCUACUCUUAUUUGUCCACCAAGAAUCAGCUCAGAUGUCACCGCUUCCAGGAAGGACGAAGGAUACCUCCUCUGGAUUCCUGUAGCAUUUGGGAGUUUGUGAUGCUGUGUAAUAAUCAUUAGUUUAUGUGUGUAUAUCUUUCAUUAAACUGUGAACUCCCUAAGGGCAUAGGGGUUACUAGAGAUGCUCUAUAAAUCAUUGUGAAUAAAAAAUAAACCAAUAGCCCUAACCCUAUCUACAUUUUUGCAUCAUGGGAAGGAGCCAGAGAAAUGUAGGGUAGCAGCGCUUUGAGACUGAGGGCCUGUAAAGCUGAGACUCCAAGAUCUGAAGAGAAUUGUAUGUCCAUGCCAUAAUUUUGCCUAGAAUUAGUGCUUCCCUGUAAAAUAACUCCCACAUCCACAACAACUCAACACGGCAGUGUGCUUGUUUUCAGAAGUCUUGUCACAACGGACCCUGUGUCACAGAGGUUUGGAAUUUACUCAUUUAAUUAACAAAGAUAGUCUGAAUCCCAACUGUGCCA